GAACGAGUUUGUUAGGGUCCCUUAGAUCUCGGUAACCACCAUGGUGUGGUCCUCCCGCACCAGCCGGGUGAAGGGUAUCCUCAGCCCUUGGAACAAUAAAACCGAAAUCAUGUUCGCCGUGAGUGCCAUCAACCAAAGAGGAGGGAAGUGAGGCUGCAGACGAGGACUGACAUUGUUGCACUCGUUCCAUCAGUGGAGACUACUCAGGGCGCUUCGUGGAAGCACGACGGGUGUCGUGGGGGAGGGUUCAGAGGCCACGAUUGAUCAGAGCACACAGAAUCGCUAACUAGAGUCAAAAUCCGUUGUGGAGCCGCAACACGUCGAGAGCAGCUACCUCAACGCCACCGUUUUGGGUAAGCACACCUCCGAUCACUUCGCCUUCGUCUACACUUCGCCCGGCACCAAUCCACGUUGGGAAUUAAUCCUAGGGAGACUGUAUUUCACCUCGCCGGUGAACUCUCGGUCAUGGGG
rnacentral:lncRNA from 7 species